rnacentral:rRNA from 1 species
AGAGCACAGGGUGGAUGCCCAGGCACCAAACGCCGAUGAAAGACGUGGCAAGCUGCGAAAAGUCACGGGGAACCGCAAGCAGGUAUUGAUCCGUGAACGUCUGAAUGGGGAAACCCGGCGGGUUAACAGCCCGUCACUAUUAACUGAAUCAAUAGGUUAAUAGGGGGAACGCGGGGAACUGAAACAUCUCAGUACCCGUAGGAAGAGAAAAUAAAGAAUGAUUUCCUAAGUAGCGGCGAGCGAACGGGAAAGAGGCCAAACCGAAGGGCUUGCUCUUCGGGGUUGAGGAUCAGCAAAAAGGACGGAAGACCUUAGCAGAAGAGGAUUGGAAAGUCCCGCCAGAGAGGGUAAAAGCCCCUUACGCGAAAAGGUCAAACGACGAGCUGACACCAGAGUACCGCAGGACACGAGAAAUCCGGUGGGAAGCCGGGAGGACCACCUCCCAAGCCUAAAUACGAAUUGGUGACCGAUAGCGCAUAGUACCGUGAGGGAAAGGUGAAAAGAACCCCGGGAGGGGAGUGAAAAAGAACCUGAAACCCUGUGUUUACAAGCAGUGAAAGUGCGAGCAAGGCACGAUCACGUACUUUUUGUAGAACGGACCGGCGAGUUACGUUAUGCAGCAAGGUUAAGAACUGAAGGUUCGGAGCCGAAGCGAAAGCGAGUCUGAAUAGGGCGAUAGUUGCAUGACGUAGACCCGAAACCGGGUGACCUAUCCAUGAGCAGGUUGAAGUGGAGGUAAAGCUCCAUGGAGGACCGAACCAGACGUCUGUUGAAAAAGGCGGGGAUGACUUGUGGAUAGGGGAGAAAUUCCAAUCGAACCCGGAGAUAGCUGGUUCUCCUCGAAAUAGCUUUAGGGCUAGCCUCAUGGAUCAUUGGUGGGGGUAGAGCACUGAAUGUGCGCGGGGGCCACAAAGCCUACCAAACGCUAUCAAACUUCGAAUACCAUACAAUGCAGACCAUGGGAGUCAGUCCGCGAGAGAUAAGUUCCGCGGGCAAAAGGGGAACACCCCAGAUCAACCGCUAAGGUCCCCAAGUUCACGUUAAGUGGAGAAGGAUGUGGAAUUGCACAGACAACCAGGAUGUUGGCUCAGAAGCAGCCACACAUUUAAAGAGUGCGUAAUAGCUCACUGGUCGAGUGAUUGUGCGCCGAAGAUGUCCGGGGCUAAACGUGACACCGAAGCGAUGGGUGCAUCUGAAGAAGAUGCGCGGUAGAGGAGCAAUGUGCAGAGGCAGAAGCCGUAUCGAGAGGCACGGUGGACACUGCACAAGAGAGAAUGCCGGUAUGAGUAGCGAGAGGCAUGCGAGAAACAUGCCCGUCGAAAGCCCAAGGUUUCCUGGGGAAGGUUCAUCCGCCCAGGGUAAGUCGGGGCCUAAGCCGAGGACGGAAGUCGUAGGCGAUGGACAGCAGGUGUAGAUUCCUGCACUACCGAUGGAAUGAAGCAGUGACACAGAAGGAUAACUCGAGCAGGGUGAUGGUCAACCCUGUGCAAGCAUCAAGGUUGGGUUGUAGUGAAGUACGCAACCCUAUAAGCUGAGAUGUGAUGCGGACCGAAAUUUCAGUAGGGAAGCGAGUGAGUUCACGCUGGCGAGAAAAGCUGCUAGUACAUCCAAAGGUACCCGUACCGGAAACCGACGCAGGUGGGCGAGGAGAGAAUCCUGAGACGAACGGGAGAACCCUUGUUAAGGAACUCGGCAAAAUGACCCCGUAACUUCGGGAUAAGGGGUGCCUGCGAGAGCAGGCCGCAGAGAAUAGUCACAAGCGACUGUUUAGCAAAAACACAGGUAUCUGCGAAAGCGAGAGCUGACGUAUAGGUGCUGACACCUGCCCGGUGCUGGAAGGUUAAGGGAACAUGUUAGAGCAAUCGAAGCAUCGAACCGAAGCCCCAGUAAACGGCGGCCGUAACUAUAACGGUCCUAAGGUAGCGAAAUUCCUUGUCGGGUAAGUUCCGACCCGCACGAAUGGUGUAACGACUUGUGAGCUGUCUCAACAGGGGGCCCGGUGAAAUUGAAGUAUGGGUGAAGAUGCCCAUUACCCGCGACUGGACGGAAAGACCCCGUAGAGCUUUACUGCAGCCUGAUAUUGAGUUUCGGUAACUGAUGCACAGGAUAGGUGGGAGUCUGAGAGACAUGGGUUUCGGCUCGUGUGGAGACGGUGUUGGGAUACCACUCUUCGGUUACUGAAAUUCUAACAUAGCUCUGUGAAACCAGAGGAUGGACAGUGUCAGGUGGACAGUUUGACUGGGGCGGUCGCCUCCGAAAGAGUAACGGAGGCGCCCAAAGGUACCCUCAGAAUGGAUGGAAACCAUUCGAAGA